rnacentral:rRNA from 1 species
GGAGSGUKMAARCGUUGUCCGGAUUUAUUGGGUUUAAAGGGUGCGUAGGCGGCUAUUUAAGUCAGUGGUGAAAUCCAGCAGCUCAACUGUUGAACUGCCAUUGAUACUGAAUAGCUUGAAUAUAGUUGAGGUAGGCGGAAUUGACGGUGUAGCGGUGAAAUGCAUAGAUAUCGUCAAGAACCCCGAUUGCGAAGGCAGCUUACUAAACUAUAAUUGACGCUGAGGCACGAAAGCGUGGGGAUCAAACAGGAUUAGAUACCCUGGUAGUCCACGCUGUAAACUAUGAUCACUCGAUGUGUGCGAUAUACAGUACGCGUCCAAGCGAAAGCGUUAAGUGAUCCACCUGGGGAGUACGGCCGCAAGGUUG